rnacentral:snRNA from 1 species
GUUCACUUUGGCAGCACAUAUACUAAAAUUGGAAAGAUACAGAGAAGAUUAACAUGGCCCCUACACAAGGAUGACAUGCAAAUUCAUGAAGCAUCCCAUAUUUGA